GAUGAACGCUGGCGGCGUGCCUAAUACAUGCAAGUCGAGCGAACAGACGAGGAGCUUGCUCCUCUGACGUUAGCGGCGGACGGGUGAGUAACACGUGGAUAACCUACCUAUAAGACUGGGAUAACUUCGGGAAACCGGAGCUAAUACCGGAUAAUAUAUUUAACCGCAUGGUUCAAUAGUGAAAGACGGUUUUGCUGUCACUUAUAGAUGGAUCCGCGCCGCAUUAGCUAGUUGGUAAGGUAACGGCUUACCAAGGCAACGAUGCGUAGCCGACCUGAGAGGGUGAUCGGCCACACUGGAACUGAGACACGGUCAAGACUCCUACGGGAGGCAGCAGUAGGGAAUCUUCCGCAAUGGGCGAAAGCCUGACGGAGCAACGCGGCGUGAGUGAUGAAGGUCUUCGGAUCGUAAAACUCUGUUAUUAGGGAAGAACAAAUGUGUAAGUAACUAUGCACGUCUUGACGGUACCUAAUCAGAAAGCCACGGCUAACUACGUG
rnacentral:rRNA from 1 species